rnacentral:lncRNA from 1 species
GAAAAAUAACUAAAAUAGCAUAUUUAGGAUUAAACUGAAAAUAAACAAGGUUUUAAGGUCGAAAUUAAAAAUGAAAAGCACAAAAGGACUAAAUCACAAUGCGCGUGAAAGGAAUAGGACCAAAAAGGGAAAUAUUCCCUCGCUGAUCAAACGGCGACGUUCCAGUGAAGCACAUGUGCAUGGUCUGGGGACCAAAUUAAAACAGAAGAAAAAUUCGGUAGCCAGAAUUGCAAAUAUAUGAAAAACAAAAUUGAAAUCGACACAAAAACGGAGGGACCAAUUGCGCAAAUAUUCCCACCAGCGAAAACACGCGGACCCUCUGGUCGGGUCGGGUAGACGGGUCUUAAGACAAAACGACGCCGUUUUGCCACUGGUGACCUUGGCUCAAAACGACGCCGUUUAAUGUUGCUAUAAAGCCCAAAUUUUUUCAAAUUUUUUCAUUUUUCCUUCUUUCUCAAAAAAUAAAAAGCUGAGAUCUCUCAACCCCCUACCCUAUCUCCGGCCUAGGGUUCUGGCCAAGGGUCGCCGCCGUGGCCGGUGGCCGACGUUGCGCACAAAAGGCGUUUCAACCCCGUUUAAAUGUGUUCAAAGGCUGAACCUUUUUAACCCGAAGAGCCGAAAGAAUAAGGGUCCCAGUCCCCUUUCGGGUCCGAUUCGACGAUAGCGGAGGACCAUCGACGACGGGGCCGCAGGACGAUUCGGUUAAACUUUUCUUCAUUUUCCUUUUUUAUUUUCGUGCAUAAAAAUAAG